GAAAAAAGAAAAAAGAAAAAAAAAAGAUAAAAAAGGAGGCGUUUCGGUUCGAUGGAAGGGACGAAGGAAGAAAGGCCAAAAUCCUAUGUACACGCACGAGCUUGUAUGGGGCUGAGAGGAGCAGCUUUCAUCACCGAAUAUUCUCAAGAGGAUUCUCUCUUGGCUACCGGCGCUGUCCGUUUCGAGCAGGUAAAGUCAAAGUAAAGUAUCGUUUCCAAAGUAAAUGGUAAGACUUCGAGAGACGUUGGACGAUUAAGUCGAAACCGCUCGCCUACUUCGUCGAGGGAAGAAUCGUCGUCGAACUUUCAUCCUCGAUCGACCUAUACGGAGGCACGGUUUCAAAGAUACCGAUCGAGAGUUCGCACGAGCCUUCCGCGUUCGGGAUUCCGUAAAGAGCAAGAAGCAAGUUUGUGUGUUAACGUUUAUAAGCUAGUUUGUAAUGUGAUACAAAAUAAACGAUGAUAAAUAAGAAGAUAGUAGAACCGGUUAUUUUUGCGAAUGACUUUUCGAGACGAAUUUUAAGCGAAAAUAAUGCUUAUCGUUUAACGAAUUUAAACGUAGAGCUUGGUUAACCAAGAAAGAAAUAAAAAGAGAGAGAGAGAGAGAGAAUAUAAAACGAUUUAGGAAUGAUCCUUUAAACGUUUUGACGCGUUCUAAAGACAAGAUGUUUGAAAAGAUGCAGAAGAGAAAUUUCGCAUCACGUUGGAGACAAUCAUGAGCGAAGACAAAAAGAAGGUGUUAAACCGCAGCGGUCAUGGACGCGUGCAUUCCAUUCGAAUACCGGCGACCCUUCGAAGGACGACGCGCGUAUAGUCCUCUUCCUUCUUGUUCCUUGUUCUUCCUCUUCUCCUUUCAGCACCUUUAAAACACGGAAUAUGUCGAGAGAACGCGAUGGCUACGAUUUGUUUUUCGACCAUGAGAGAGAAUUGCGAUUCUGCUCGCGUACGCGCGAUACACGUCCACCUUGUACGUGCCGAUCGCGUUCGUGCUUUCAAACCUUUCGACACUGUUCCUAGAGAAAGAGAAAAAGAAAGAAAGAGAAUAUAAAAGAAAGAGAAAGAGUAAAGAAAGGCAAUGUUUUACGAUUUUCCUUUUUCAUUUAUUUUUCAAAUAUACACAAAUCAAGCCUUCGAGAAAACAUUUAUCCCAACAUUUAAUUAUCAUAAUUAUUCAUUUUCAAAGCAAAUAACAACAUAACAGGU